rnacentral:misc_RNA from 1 species
AAGUCGUAACAAGGUUUCCGUAGGUGAACCUGCGGAAGGAUCAUUAACACAUAUUAACAAUAUAAACCUGGUUGCAUAGUGCGAACCUAUCGGGAGAGGCUUGUAGGGAAUGGUUGGAUCCAUUUCACAUAUAAUGUGACUUGGGUUGUCUACAGGCUAGCAUCCAUGUACGCUCGUAGUUUCUGCUCGCUGUGAGGUGCAGCUCUACCCGGUAAGGAAUACAGCCCCCAACAUGGCUGGACCCUUUUUUUUUACUUGAAUUACGGUUUGAUUGCGAGUUUAAUUUCAGAUGGAGAGGUUCGUCCUUUCUCUGGUUGGGCUCGUGUGACUGGAGCAAUCCAUGUCAUAAACAAAACACAACUCUUAACAGCGGAUAUCUCGGUUCUC